rnacentral:rRNA from 1 species
GAGUUUGAUCUUGGCUCAGAACGAACGCUGGCGGCAUGCCUAACACAUGCAAGUCGAACGAGACCUUCGGGUCUAGUGGCGCACGGGUGCGUAACGCGUGGGAAUCUGCCCUUGGGUACGGAAUAACAGUUAGAAAUGACUGCUAAUACCGUAUAAUGACUUCGGUCCAAAGAUUUAUCGCCCAGGGAUGAGCCCGCGUAGGAUUAGCUUGUUGGUGAGGUAAAGGCUCACCAAGGCGACGAUCCUUAGCUGGUCUGAGAGGAUGAUCAGCCACACUGGGACUGAGACACGGCCCAGACUCCUACGGGAGGCAGCAGUGGGGAAUAUUGGACAAUGGGCGAAAGCCUGAUCCAGCAAUGCCGCGUGAGUGAUGAAGGCCUUAGGGUUGUAAAGCUCUUUUGCCAGGGAUGAUAAUGACAGUACCUGGAGAAUAAGCUCCGGCUAACUCCGUGCCAGCCGCCG